rnacentral:rRNA from 1 species
UAACCUACCCUUUGGAAAGGGAUAGCCCUCGGGAAAGUGGGAGUAAUGCUUCAUAAGACACGUUUGUCGCAUGGCAUUAGUAUAAACGUUCCGGCGCCAUAGGAUGGACCCGCGUCCCAUUAGCUAGUUGGUGAGAUAACAGCUCACCAAGGCCACCAUGGGUAACCGGUCUGAGAGGGCGAACGGUCACACUGGAACUGAGACACGGUCCAGACUCCUACGGGAGGCAGCAGAGGGGAAUAUUGCGCAAUGGGGGCAACCCUGACGCAGCAAUACCGCGUGAGUGAAGAAGGUUUUCGGAUCGUAAAGCUCUGUUAUUGGGGAAGAAAAAAAGACGGUACCCAAGAAGAAAGUUCCGGCUAACUACGUCCAGCAGCCGCGGUAAUACGUAGGGAACAAGCGUUGUCCGGAUUUACUGGGCGUAAAGGGCCCGCCGGCGGUUUUUUAAGUCUAGUUGUGCAAAAGCGCU